GCUUGCUGGGUGGAUUAGUGGCGAACGGGUGAGUAACACGUGAGCAACCUGCCCCUGACUCUGGGAUAAGCGCUGGAAACGGCGUCUAAUACUGGAUACGAACAAGAAUCGCAUGGUUACUUGUUGGAAAGAUUUUUCGGUUGGGGAUGGGCUCGCGGCCUAUCAGCUUGUUGGUGAGGUAAUGGCUCACCAAGGCGUCGACGGGUAGCCGGCCUGAGAGGGUGACCGGCCACACUGGGACUGAGACACGGCCCAGACUCCUACGGGAGGCAGCAGUGGGGAAUAUUGCACAAUGGGCGCAAGCCUGAUGCAGCAACGCCGCGUGAGGGAUGACGGCCUUCGGGUUGUAAACCUCUUUUAGCAGGGAAGAAGCGAGAGUGACGGUACCUGCAGAAAAAGCACCGGCUAACUACGUGCCAGCAGCCGCGGUAAUACGUAGGGUGCAAGCGUUAUCCGGAAUUAUUGGGCGUAAAGAGCUCGUAGGCGGUUUGUCGCGUCUGCUGUGAAAUCUGGGGGCUCAACCCCCAGCCUGCAGUGGGUACGGGCAGACUAGAGUGCGGUAGGGGAGAUUGGAAUUCCUGGUGUAGCGGUGGAAUGCGCAGAUAUCAGGAGGAACACCGAUGGCGAAGGCAGAUCUCUGGGCCGUAACUGACGCUGAGGAGCGAAAGGGUGGGGAGCAAACAGGCUUAGAUACCCUGGUAGUCCACCCCGUAAACGUUGGGAACUAGUUGUGGGGUCCAUUCCACGGAUUCCGUGACGCAGCUAACGCAUUAAGUUCCCCGCCUGGGGAGUACGGCCGCAAGGCUAAAACUCAAAGGAAUUGACGGGGACCCGCACAAGCGGCGGAGCAUGCGGAUUAAUUCGAUGCAACGCGAAGAACCUUACCAAGGCUUGACAUAUACGAGAACGGGCCAGAAAUGGUCAACUCUUUGGACACUCGUAAACAGGUGGUGCAUGGUUGUCGUCAGCUCGUGUCGUGAGAUGUUGGGUUAAGUCCCGCAACGAGCGCAACCCUCGUUCUAUGUUGCCAGCACGUAAUGGUGGGAACUCAUGGGAUACUGCCGGGGUCAACUCGGAGGAAGGUGGGGAUGACGUCAAAUCAUCAUGCCCCUUAUGUCUUGGGCUUCACGCAUGCUACAAUGGCCGGUACAAUGGGCUGCAAUACCGUGAGGUGGAGCGAAUCCCAAAAAGCCGGUCCCAGUUCGGAUUGAGGUCUGCAACUCGACCUCAUGAAGUCGGAGUCGCUAGUAAUCGCAGAUCAGCAACGCUGCGGUGAAUACGUUCCCGGGUCUUGUACACACCGCCCGUCAAGUCAUGAAAGUCGGUAACACCUGAAGCCGG
rnacentral:rRNA from 1 species